rnacentral:lncRNA from 1 species
UUCAUCCGACUAAGAUUUUGAUCCUAGGAGAAAAUUCGUUAUACUAGGUCCUUUUUUUGUUAUUUUAGGAGAAAGAUUCAUCAUACUAAGAUUUUUAUCCUAGGAGAAAAUUCAUUAGACUAGGUUUUAUAUCUUAAGAGAAAGAUUCAUCAGACUAAGAUUUUGAUCCUAGGAGAAAGUUCAUCAGACUAGGUCUUCUAUCUUAGGAGAAAGAUUCAUCAGACUAAGAUUUUGAUCCUAGGAGAAAAUUCAUCAAACUAGGUCCCUUUUUGUUAUCUUAGGAGAAAGAUUCAUCAGACUAAGAUUUCUAUCAUAGGAGAAAGUUCAUCAGACUAUGUCUUCUAUCUUAGGAGAAAGAUUCAUCAGACUAAGAUUUUGAUCCCAGGAGAAAAUUCAUCAAACUAGGCCCCUUUUUUGUUAUCUUAGGAGAAAGAUUCGUCAAACUAAGAUUUCUAUUUAUUAUCUUAGGAGAAAGAUUCAUCCGAUUAAGAUUUGAUCCUAGCAGAAAGAUUCAUCAGACUAGGGCUUCUAUCUUAGGAGAAAAAUUCCUCAGACUAAGAUUCUAUUGGGAAGAAAAUCCAUCAGACUAGGACUUUUUAUCCUAGGAGGCAAAAUGUGACGACCAAAUGACAAAAUUUUAUGCACAUGAGCAAAAUAGAAAAAGGCAAAAUUUGAGAAACUUCCCUUUGUCGGCUCUUCUC